UAGCGAUGGUCAAAAGCAUUUAGAUAUUGCUUUGAAAUCUACAGAUAAGUAUUUACAUAGGAAAAUAUUGGAGGAUGAAGCUCUACCUACUGCCUCAGGUUAAUUUAAAUUCUGAGUUGCAACAACAGCAACAAGCAAGAAGGGCACCAUUAAAUGAAUAUUAUACACAUAAGUAUUAUUAUACACAGAAAGAGUAAUGUUAUACACAUAAAUAUUAACAUUUUGUAGAGCAACAACAGAAUAAAAAACCAAAAUAUGAACACCAGCAACUAAAACAGGAACCAUUAAAUGAAUAUUAUAUACAGCAAUAACAGCAUCAAAUAAUGGAAAUAAUGGACCCUAUUGCUCAAAUCAAAAACAAAAUUUCAGCAUUACCACUUUAUUGGUUAUAUCAAUAAAAGAAAUUGAGUUUAUGAGUCUAGAUCCUACAAGCAAGCAGAGCUAUCACAUAAUUUUAAAUGAAGAUUUAUCUAUUAUAGUAAUUUAUUCUAAUAACGAAAAAAAAACUUUGGAUCAAAAAAUAUUUUCUUCUGAUGAGGUUUAUGAAUAUUAAAGUCUGUUGAAGUUUGGCCAUUAUGUGUUGCUAUACAAUUUAUUUAUGAUGUUACAGUAGUUAAACCAUCCGAGUACGAAACAUGUUUAAAAUCCACUAUUCUUAAUGAAUGGCAACUACCAACUUGAGAGGAAGCUAAGAGAAAGGUUCUAUUGGGUGAACUACAAGGAAGACAUGAGCAUCUGGAAGGGCUAUAAAAUUAUAUUAUUAUUUCACGCCCCAAGCCAUGUUGGAAUAGCUGGGAGUGAAAAAGAAGAUAAUACUGCACACAAUUCUUGUCUAGAAGUAGUUGAUAUUAAGGUAGUUAAGCCAUCCGACUAUCGAACAUUUAAAAUCGACUAUUCUGAAUGAAUGGCAAUUACGUUGGCAAAACGUAAAUAAAUACUUGUAUAGUAUAAAAUUACAUUAUAUUGGC
rnacentral:lncRNA from 1 species